rnacentral:rRNA from 1 species
AUUGAACGCUGGCGGCAGGCCUAACACAUGCAAGUCGAACGAGUGGCGGACGGGUGAGUAAUGUCUGGGAAACUGCCUGAUGGAGGGGGAUAACUACUGGAAACGGUAGCUAAUACCGCAUACCAUCGGAUGUGCCCAGAUGGGAUUAGCUAGUAGGUGGGGUAAAGGCUCACCUAGGCGACGAUCCCUAGCUGGUCUGAGAGGAUGACCAGCAACACGGGAACGGAGACACGGCCCAGACUCCUACGGGGGGCAGCAGGGGGGAAUUUUGCAAAAUGGGCGAAAGCCUGAUGCAGCAAUGCCGGGGGUAUGAAGAAGGCCUUCGGGUGGUAAAGUAUUUUCAGCGGGGAGGCGUUACCCGCAGAAGAAGCCCCGGCUAACUCCGUGCCAGAAGCCGCGGUAAUAC